rnacentral:rRNA from 1 species
AUGCCACUGUACUGGUCAUUAUUCUCAUUCAAUGUACCAUAUUUUUCAGAGCUUGCGUCAACAUUGCAGCUGAGUCGGGGGCUCCAACUAUCGACACGGUGCUUUAGGGAAAAGGUACUCGAUGCAGAAGAGAAGGAAGGAGUUGACAAAGUCUCGGAAUCAACAUCCUGUGAUGGGCUGCUCGCGAGUUUGCAGUACACCGCGGAAAUGCAUCUUAGAAUGUCCUCCGAAAGCUUGCAUGCAAUCCUGGGCACAUAUUCAGCAAUAGAAGCACUCAAGAAAUUUGCAAGACAAGAAUGCCCUGAAGUUGAUCUUGGCAGUCCCUGUGAAUACUUCAAUGAUAUGAAAGCUGCAUCAGAUUAUCUCACUUUGGGAGGUUUCAUCAGAAAAAGCUAA